rnacentral:piRNA from 1 species
UGAGAAUGGCCCUCAUAGGUUCAUCUA